rnacentral:rRNA from 1 species
GAUGAACGCUGGCGGCGUGCCUAAUACAUGCAAGUCGAACGCAUAGCGAAAGGUGCUUGCCCCUUUCAAGUGAGUGGCGAACGGGUGAGUAACACGUGGACAACCUGCCUCAAGGCUGGGGAUAACAUUUGGAAACAGAUGCUAAUACCGAAUAAAACUUAGUGUCGCAUGACACAAAGUUAAAAGGCGCUUCGGCGUCACCUAGAGAUGGAUCCGCGGUGCAUUAGUUAGUUGGUGGGGUAAAGGCCUACCAAGACAAUGAUGCAUAGCCGAGUUGAGAGACUGAUCGGCCACAUUGGGACUGAGACACGGCCCAAACUCCUACGGGAGGCUGCAGUAGGGAAUCUUCCACAAUGGGCGAAAGCCUGAUGGAGCAACGCCGCGUGUGUGAUGAAGGCUUUCGGGUCGUAAAGCACUGUUGUAUGGGAAGAACAGCUAGAAUAGGAAAUGAUUUUAGUUUGACGGUACCAUACCAGAAAGGUACGGCUAAAUACGUG